UACGUAGGCAGCAAGCGUUGUUCGGAGUUACUGGGCGUAAAGGGCGCGUAGGUGGCGUCGUAAGUCUGUGGUGAAAGCCCGGAGCUCAACUCCGGGUCUGCCGCGGAUACUGCGAGGCUUGAGUGCUGUAGAGGGGGGUAGAAUGCCGGGUGUAGCGGUGGAAUGCGUAGAGAUCCGGCAGAAGACCGGUGGCGAAGGCGGCCCCCUGGGCAGUAACUGACACUGAGGCGCGACAGCGUGGGGAGCAAACAGG
rnacentral:rRNA from 1 species